CUAGAGCAAAAGACUGACUAGACCCUAAGUAUAUGGGUUAGGGUUAGUCGACCAUGGUUUGACUUCCACUCUAGGUAUAUGUGCUAGAGCAAAAGGCUGACUAGACCCUAAGUAUAUGUGUUAGGGUUAGUCGGAUGAACUCUAAGUAUAUAUGUUAGAGUUCGAAUAAAGUUGAUAUCAUUUGACUGAAUUCUAAGUAUAUGGCUUAGAAUUCUGUCGAUUUGGAGAUGUUUCGCCUUAGUUAUAUGUGCCAAGGUGAUUAACAUAGCCCUAAGUAUAUGUAUUAGGGGUAGUCGAUAUUUAAUUUUUACUUUAGGUAUAUGUGCCAGAGUAAAAAAAAAAAAGGUUCACGAUGAGAUUUGGGUAUUGGUUCAUGAGAUUUGAGUAUUGGCUCAUGAAUUUGGAUAUGGUUCAUGAAUCUGGUGUGUGGACUCGGUUCAUGAACUUGGAUAUGGUUUAUGGAUUUGGUGUAUGGAUUUGGCUCAUGAACUUGGAUAUGGUACAUGGGUUUGGUGUAUGGAUUUGGUUCAUGAACUUGGUUCAUGAACUUGGAUAUGGUUCAUGGGUUUGGUGUAUGGAUUUGGUUCAUGGUUUAAGGAAUUUGGGUUUAGUUUAACGACUUUUCGGUCGUUUGGAUUUGGGUUUAGUUUAGCGACGUUUCGGUCGUUUAGAUUUGAGAGGCUUUGGAUUUUGGGGUUUUAUUUGUGGACUUUGGGUUUUGGGAUUUAUUUGUGGACUUUGGGUUUUGGG
rnacentral:lncRNA from 1 species